rnacentral:rRNA from 1 species
UACGAAGGGGGGCUAGCGUUGUUCGGAAUUACUGGGCGUAAAGCGCACGUAGGCGGAUAUUUAAGUCAGGGGUGAAAUCCCGGGGCUCAACCCCGGAACUGCCUUUGAUACUGGGUAUCUCGAGUCCGAGAGAGGUGAGUGGAAUUCCGAGUGUAGAGGUGAAAUUCGUAGAUAUUCGGAGGAACACCAGUGGCGAAGGCGGCUCACUGGCUCGGUACUGACGCUGAGGCGCGAAAGCGUGGGGAGCAAACAGGG